rnacentral:rRNA from 1 species
UACAGGGGGGUGCAAACGUUGCUCGGAAUUAUUGGGCGUAAAGCGCGCGUAGGCGGCUACCUAAGUCGGAUGUGAAAGCCCCUGGCUUAACUGGGGAAGUGCACCCGAAACUGGGUAGCUAGAGUGCAAAAAGAGGGUCGCGGAAUUCCCGGUGUAGAGGUGAAAAUUCGUAGAUAUCGGGAGGAACACCGGUGGCGAAGGCGGCGACCUGGGUUGACACUGAGCUGAGGCGCGAAAAGCGUGGGGGAGCAAACAGG